UACAGAGACUGCGAGCGUUAUUCGGAUUCACUGGGCGUAAAGGGUGCGCAGGCGGCCGAGUGUGUGAGGCGUGAAAGCCCGGGGCUUAACCCCGGAAUUGCACCUCAAACUACACGGCUAGAGCAUUGGAGAGGGUAGCGGAAUUCACGGUGUAGCAGUGAAAUGCGUAGAUAUCGAUGAGGAACACCAGAGGCGAAGGCGGCUACCUGGACAAUUGCUGACGCUCAGGCACGAAAGCGUGGGGAGCAAAAGGG
rnacentral:rRNA from 1 species